AUUGAACGCUGGCGGAAUGCUUUACACAUGCAAGUCGAACGGUAGAGGGGGCAACCCCUUGAGAGUGGCGAACGGGUGAGUAAUAUAUCGGAACGUGCCCAGUCGUGGGGGAUAACGUAGCGAAAGUUACGCUAAUACCGCAUACGAUCUAAGGAUGAAAGCGGGGGACCGUAAGGCCUCGCGCGAUUGGAGCGGCCGAUAUCAGAUUAGGUAGUUGGUGGGGUAAAGGCUCACCAAGCCAACGAUCUGUAGCUGGUCUGAGAGGACGACCAGCCACACUGGAACUGAGACACGGUCCAGACUCCUACGGGAGGCAGCAGUGGGGAAUUUUGGACAAUGGACGCAAGUCUGAUCCAGCCAUUCCGCGUGCAGGAUGAAGGCCCUCGGGUUGUAAACUGCUUUGUACGGAACGAAAAGGUCUCUCUUAAUACGGGGGGCUCAUGACGGUACCGUAAGAAUAAGCACCGGCUAACUACGUG
rnacentral:rRNA from 1 species